rnacentral:rRNA from 1 species
AUGACUCAGCCUGAAUGGCAGCUUGCGAUGGCCGAAGAGCUUGCUGCUCUUGAGCGCUCUAGCACAUGGGAUCUGGUUCCCCUUCCUUCCGGUGUCCGUCCCAUCACCUGCAAGUGGGUCUACAAGAUUAAGACUCGCUCCGAUGGUUCUCUUGAACGCUACAAAGCUCGUCUUGUGGCUCGUGGUUUUCAGCAGGAGCAGGGGCAUGAUUAUGAUGAGACAUUCGCUCCUGUGGCCCACAUGACCACUGUCCGCACUCUUCUUGCUGUGGCUUCUGUUCGUCAGUGGUCUAUCUCUCAACUUGAUGUUCAGAACACUUUCCUCAAUGGCGAGUUGCGUGAGGAGGUUUAUAUGCAGCCACCACCGGGGUACUAUGCUCCGGAUGGUAUGGUCUGUCGACUUCGCCGCUCCCUCUAUGGCCUCAAACAGGCCCCUCGUGCCUGGUUUGAGCGCUUCGCCUCUGUGGUGACUGCCGCUGGUUUUUUGCCCAGUGAUCAUGAUCCCGCGUUGUUUGUUCACACGUCUCCUCGUGGUCGAACUCUUCUCCUUCUCUAUGUUGAUGACAUGAUCAUUACUGGUGACGACUCUGACUACAUUGCCUUGUUAAGGCCCGUCUUCACGACCAGUUCCUCAUGA